rnacentral:lncRNA from 1 species
CUAAGCUGCAGAUGUACUGAGAAGUGUUCAGGUACAGAGCACUUCAUUAUGUGCACGAACAGAAAUGCUUAAACAGAUGAAGCAGCUAUUUGCAUCUGAUAGGAACUAAGUGGGACAUUAAAUUAAUGCCAAACAAGAGACACAUAAGGAGGAUUCCAGUUGAUCAAGGUGAAAAGAGAAGAAAGAAAUCAGCUGGAUUUUUUUCAUACAAGGAAUCUAUAUAGACAGUGCUGGUUGCACCAGGAGAGUUUCACUAUUCAGUCUGAAGAGCAAAAUGAGGUAAGACUGAGGUUACUUUAGAUCAUGUCUGUAGAGUGCUUAGACUUCCC